rnacentral:lncRNA from 1 species
GGGAGUGUCUCUUCGCAUGCUAAUGUAUUCUAAUUAGCGUGUAAUGAGCAGCGAGGACAAUCCGAGGUCACUUUCAUCGCCUUCUUGGUUUUGGUUAUAAACUUCAACAAGGUAGAGAUCGUGUCCAUCUUGUUCACAGCCGAAGUUGCAGCACCUAGCACAGUGCCUGGCACAUGUUGUGGAACUUGGCGCUCAGAGAGAGUCCUGAUGUGCCAGAGACCACACAGACAAGCAGUCCAGGGUUGGGACUGGUGCCAGCCAGGUAGGCUCCUCUGAAAAGCCCAGUCUCUUUAGGAGCUGAUUGCCCCCAAGCUGAGAUUCAGCUGGACCAUGAAUGAACCGUGUGACCUUUGGCAAGUCUUGGCUUCUCAACUGUGAACCGGAGCUGAUAAUGCCCACUUGUGUCUCAUGUGCCCUGAACAAUGCCUGGCACUUAGUGAAUAAAUAUGCUAAUAAUUAAUGACACUA